rnacentral:lncRNA from 1 species
AAAGGCCCAAUUUGCCCGGGCCCAAAAACACAAACAAAAAAUAAAUCAAAUAUAAAAACAAAUAAAAUUAAAAUGCCAUUAUUGAACAGUCCAGUUUUUUUUUACAAACCAAGUUAAAUUAAGCCCAAACCCAAUUACAAAAUCCAAAUACCCAAUGAACCCCAACACCAACCCGUUAACCCAAAUUAACAGCCCAAAAUCAAAACCCAACCUAGCCCCAGACUUUCCCAGACACCAGAAACCCUAGGUAGCAACAAUCGGCCUAAGCCACCGCAGCAGCCUCGCAACGCACCGCCUUCAGCUUUCCUCUCUACGCGCGCCACGCCACCACCUCCGUACUCCAGUACCU